rnacentral:rRNA from 1 species
UACGUAGGGUGCAAGCGUUGUCCGGAUUUAUUGGGCGUAAAGAGCUCGUAGGCGGUUAGUCACGUCGGAUGUGAAAACCCGGAGCUUAACUCCGGGCCUGCAUUCGAUACGGGCUGACUAGAGUGUUGUAGGGGAGACUGGAACUCCUGGUGUAGCGGUGAAAUGCGCAGAUAUCAGGAAGAACACCGGUGGCGAAGGCGGGUCUCUGGGCAGCUACUGACGCUGAGGAGCGAAAGCGUGGGGAGCAAACAGG